rnacentral:rRNA from 1 species
CUUGACGACCAUAGAGCAUUGGAACCACCUGAUCCCAUCCCGAACUCAGCAGUGAAACGAUGUANGAAUUCCGAAACCCCUCAUCGCUCACGCGAUGAGGGGUUUUGUCGUUGUGG